rnacentral:rRNA from 1 species
UACGUAGGUGGCGAGCGUUGUCCGGCUUUACUGGGCGUAAAGAGCGCGCAGGCGGUCGUUCAAGUCGCGUGUGAAAGCCCCCGGCUCAACUGGGGAGGGUCACGCGAUACUGAUCGACUCGAAGGCAGGAGAGGGAAGUGGAAUUCCCGGUGUAGUGGUGAAAUGCGUAGAUAUCGGGAGGAACACCAGUGGCGAAGGCGACUUCCUGGCCUGUUCUUGACGCUGAGGCGCGAAAGCUAGGGGAGCAAACGGG